rnacentral:rRNA from 1 species
UAGGGAAUCUUCCGCAAUGGGCGAAAGCCUGACGGAGCAACGCCGCGUGAGUGAUGAAGGUCUUCGGAUCGUAAAACUCUGUUAUUAGGGAAGAACAAAUGUGUAAGUAACUAUGCACGUCUUGACGGUACCUAAUCAGAAAGGCACGGCUAACUACGUGCCAGCAGCCGCGGUAAUACGUAGGUGGCAAGCGUUAUCCGGAAUUAUUGGGCGUAAAGCGCGCGUAGGCGGUUUUUUAAGUCUGAUGUGAAAGCCCACGGCUCAACCGUGGAGGGUCAUUGGAAACUGGAAAACUUGAGUGCAGAAGAGGAAAGUGGAAUUCCAUGUGUAGCGGUGAAAUGCGCAGAGAUAUGGAGGAACACCAGUGGCGAAGGCGACUUUCUGGUCUGUAACUGACGCUGAUGUGCGAAAGCGUGGGGAUCAAACAGG